UACGUAGGUGGCGAGCGUUGUCCGGAUUUACUGGGCGUAAAGGGCUCGUAGGCGGCCAACUAAGUCAGACGUGAAAUCCCUCGGCUUAACCGGGGAACUGCGUCUGAUACUGGAUGGCUUGAGAUUGGGAGAGGGAUGCGGAAUUCCAGGUGUAGCGGUGAAAUGCGUAGAUAUCUGGAGGAACACCGGUGGCGAAGGCGGUUCUCUGGGCCUGUACUGACGCUGAGGAGCGAAAGCGUGGGGAGCGAACAGG
rnacentral:rRNA from 1 species